GCAGAUAUGGUGGAAUUGGUAGACACGUACGCUUGAGGGGUGUAUGGCGCGAGCUGUGGGGGUUCAAAUCCCCCUAUCUGCACCA
rnacentral:tRNA from 1 species